rnacentral:lncRNA from 1 species
UAAUAUGCUUUGAACAUCAGGAGACCUAAGAGAUGUCCACAGUCCUGCUCAGUCUUCUCAUAAAUUUCUCAUCUUGAAGCGUCUUUCAAAGAUCCUAGCUGUGUAAGUGUAGAUUCUGCAAUCAGAAGAUGCCAGGAUUAUUUGGGUCUCAAAUUCAAGGCAAAUUUACAUUAAGUGGCAGAACCUGCAACUCAAGCUUCAGCGAACGUGAUGGGAAUAAGGAGAGAUUGUUAACAUGUUGGAUUCAUUUGAAGCACUUUUCACUUUAUAAUUUUUCACAUUUUUCUUGCUUAUUGUCUGUCACACUCACGUUGGACUAUGAGCUCUACUGGUGACAGAAAAUACAACUAUUUUUCUUAGUAAUUUAUACGCAGAAAUUAAGUCUAGCACAGAGUUGACACUUAAAAAAAUAUUACUGAAAUGACUGACUGAAGGAUGCGGGGAAAAGUGAAUGCAGAGAAAAAUGAGUGCACCUGGCGAGUAACAGGGAGAGGAAGAAAAGCUGGUGGAAUCCAUCAGCAAAGGUGCAGGUCCCCAUUCUGUGACAAGUCCACCUGAGUAACAAGGUAAUGCCGGGGGACUGGAGGAGCGAGAACUUGGACCUGAGGAACAACUGAUUGGAAGCUCCUUGAAAGCAGAGCCCAUGUAUUACAACUUUGUAUCCUAUCUCAAUUCUUAGCACAUGAAAGAUGGGAUUGCCCCACUAGACGGUAACCCCCGUGAAUCAGGGACAGGUCACCUCUGUAACUUCAGCAUCUGGAGCAAAGCUGCAAAUUGGAAUUCCUAUUUUCUGAAAUUGCCUCCUGACUUUGCCCUAGAACUAUCCUAUUUUGUAAUGGGCCUGCAAUCUGCCUCUGAAUGGAAGUCAUGGAAAGGAUCAAAAAUGACUGACCAGCGUUGGUGGAGUUUGGGUUUUUUUUAAAUAAUAGUAGGUAUUAAUGUAGCACACU